rnacentral:tRNA from 1 species
UAAUUAGAAACAAUAUAUGUAUUUAGUUUCGACCUAAAAUUUAGUAAUAAAAUUUACUCUAAUUAA